UACGGGGGGGGCAAGCGUUGUUCGGAAUUACUGGGCGUAAAGGGCUCGUAGGUGGCCAACUAAGUCGGACGUGAAAUCCCUCGGCUUAACCGGGGAACUGCGUCCGAUACUGGAUGGCUUGAGUUUGGGAGAGGGAUGCGGAAUUCCAGGUGUAGCGGUGAAAUGCGUAGAUAUCUGGAGGAACACCGGUGGCGAAGGCGGCAUCCUGGACCGAUACUGACGCUGAGGAGCGAAAGCCAGGGGAGCAAACGGG
rnacentral:rRNA from 1 species